GCCUUGGUGGCGGAAUUGGUAGACGCACCAGACUUAGGAUCUGGCGCUUUUAGCGUGGAGGUUCGAGUCCUCUCCAAGGCA
rnacentral:tRNA from 1 species